rnacentral:rRNA from 1 species
GACGGAGGGUGCUAGCGUUGUUCGGAAUUACUGGGUGUAAAGGGCGCGUAGGCAGUUUAUCAAGUUGGGCGUGAAAGCCCCGGGCUUAACCUGGGAAUUGCGUUUGAUACUGGUAGACUAGAGGACGGGAGAGGAAAGUGGAAUUCCUAGUGUAGAAGUGAAAUUCGUAGAUAUUAGGAGGAACACCAGAGGCGAAGGCGACUUUCUGGACCGAUUCUGACGCUGAGGCGCGAAAGCGUGGGGAGCAAACAGG